rnacentral:rRNA from 1 species
UACGUAGGGCGCAAGCGUUGUCCGGAAUUAUUGGGCGUAAAGAGCUCGUAGGUGGUUUGUCGCGUUGUUCGUGAAAACUCACAGCUUAACUGUGGGCGUGCGGGCGAUACGGGCAGACUGGAGUACUGCAGGGGAGACUGGAAUUCCUGGUGUAGCGGUGGAAUGCGCAGAUAUCAGGAGGAACACCGGUGGCGAAGGCGGCGCUCUGGACCGAGACUGACGCUGAGGCGCGAAAGCGUGGGGAGCAAACAGG